AUACGUAGGUGGCGAGCGUUGUCCGGAAUUACUGGGUGUAAAGGGCGUGUAGGCGGGAAUGCAAGUCAGAUGUGAAAUACCGAGGCUUAACUUCGGGGCUGCAUCUGAAACUGUGUUUCUUGAGUGUCGGAGAGGAAAGUGGAAUUCCUAGUGUAGCGGUGAAAUGCGUAGAUAUUAGGAGGAACACCAGUGGCGAAGGCGACUUUCUGGACGAUAACUGACGCUGAGGCGCGAAAGCGUGGGGAGCAAACAGGAUUAGAUACCCUGGUAGUCCACGCUGUAAACGAUGGAUACUAGGUGUAGGAGGUAUCGACCCCUUCUGUGCCGGAGUUAACACAAUAAGUAUCCCACCUGGGGAGUACGGCCGCAAGGUUGAA
rnacentral:rRNA from 1 species